rnacentral:rRNA from 1 species
AUUGAACGCUGGCGGCAGGCCUAACACAUGCAAGUCGAGCGGAUGAAGGGAGCUUGCUCCUGGAUUCAGCGGCGGACGGGUGAGUAAUGCCUAGGAAUCUGCCUGGUAGUGGGGGAUAACGUCCGGAAACGGGCGCUAAUACCGCAUACGUCCUGAGGGAGAAAGUGGGGGAUCUUCGGACCUCACGCUAUCAGAUGAGCCUAGGUCGGAUUAGCUAGUUGGUGGGGUAAAGGCCUACCAAGGCGACGAUCCGUAACUGGUCUGAGAGGAUGAUCAGUCAAACUGGAAGGGAGACAGGGUCCAGACCCCUAGGGGGGGGCGCAGGGGGGAAUUUUGGAAAAGGGGGGAAAGCCUGAUCCAGCCAGGCCGGGGGUGGGAAGAAGGUCUUCGGAUUGUAAAGCACUUUAAGUUGGGGGGAAGGGAAGUAAGUUAAUACCUUGCUUUUUUGACGUUACCAACAGAAUAAGCACCGGCUAACUUCGG